rnacentral:miRNA from 1 species
UGUUGGGACUGUGUUUGGCAUC